UGGCAAGUCGAACGAGAACAGUUCCUUCGGGAACCUAGUAAAGUGGCGCACGGGUGAGUAACACGUGGGUAACCUACCCUCGGGUUUGGGACAACACUUCGAAAGAGGUGCUAAUACCAGAUAAGACCACGUCCUCCUUGGAGGAUGCGGUAAAAGGUGGCCUCUCCAUGGAAGCUAUCGCCUAAGGAUGGGCCCGCGCCCCAUCAGCUUGUUGGUAAGGUAACGGCUUACCAAGGCUAAGACGGGUAGCUGGUCUGAGAGGAUGAACAGCCACACUGGAACUGAGACACGGUCCAGACUCCUACGGGAGGCAGCAGUGGGGAAUAUUGCGCAAUGGGCGAAAGCCUGACGCAGCGACGCCGCGUGAGUGAUGAAGGCCCUCGGGUCGUAAAGCUCUGUGGGACAAGAAAGAAAAAGCGUAGGGAACAAUACCCCUACGCCCUGACGGUACUUGUCCAGAAAGCACCGGCUAACUCCGUGCCAGCAGCCGCGGUAAUACGGAGGGUGCGAGCGUUGUUCGGAAUCAUUGGUCGUAAGGCGCGUGUAGGCGGGAUAGUAUGUCGAAUGUGAAAUCCCUCGGCUUAACCGAGGACUUGCAUCCGAAACUGCUAUUCUUGAGUACGGGAGAGGGAAGUGGAAUUUCCAGUGUAGAGGUGAAAUUCGUAGAUAUUGGAAGGAACACCAGAGGCGAAGGCGACUUCCUGGACCGAUACUGACGCUGAGACGCGAAGGCGUGGGGAGCAAACAGGAUUAGAUACCCUGGUAGUCCACGCAGUAAACGAUGAGCACUAGGUGUUGCGG
rnacentral:rRNA from 1 species